CAGGACUAUAUUUCAUACUAACAUUAAAACCGCUGUGGAGCACAGCUCCCCAGAACCCAUAUUCGCUUUAAACACUAUUUUGAUAACACCAAGGAGAAAUCAAUACACUAAGGGUAGGGAACAGCAGCAUGGUAGCACAGAGCCAAAAGAGGACCACGCGAAACAAAAGCAAAGACCCAGGGAACGUUUGAGUGCACCCAGGGCUGAAUGCAGGCUUGAGAGAGGCGGGCAUAUUCUGGGUCAUAUGGAAAAGGAGUGGGAAGGCCAGGGUAGCAGGGUGAGUUGCAGAAAGGAGCAUGUUGAGCUGUCAGUCAGGUCUAGAAAUAGAAAAGCAUCUGCAAACUGCAUCUCAACACUCACAGCCAGCAAGCAGGAGUCAAGAAUCCCACUUCACUGUUAUUCAGAGGGUAUCCCUGCAACCAGGCACCAACACUUGCUACAGAGACUCGCUGAUACUCAGACGUUGGAAAAGCAAUGCCGGCAAGGCGCCUGGCAGUCCAGACCACUCUCCCUUAUAUUGUGUAGCAGCACUUGGCAACCCUGCCACACCACAGGCAAUAGCAGAGGAUCAACCAGCAUGGAAACAAAGCUUGCUGAGGCCAGCAGUAAGGCCCUCAAGUCAGCCCUCUGCUGAUGAAAACUACAACAAUUAGACAGAUGAAGCUCUCUCUUUUAAAAUUCAGAUGUAUUCAAACACUCAAAACACAUCUGCUUGCUCAGAAUCCAGUAGCUUUGAGUGUGUUGCUGUGGCAUUGGAAACUACAGAUGAAGUAAACCGAGGCUUAAAGACUGUGCCCAAAAGACAAAUCCAACUGAAGAGACGCGACUCAACAGAGGCACAUGCCAGAGAGAGCAGCAAUCAAAGCCUUCAGGUUGCAAACACACCUGUGUGUGCCUGGGACAUAUUUCAGCGUCAACAUAGCACCCCUGCAGCUUUUAACCAGGAGUCCCAUGUGGCUGAUCAAAGGUCAGUACAGGCUGACAGAAAGCAAAGGCUUCAGAAGUAAUUUUCCCUGGAUG
rnacentral:lncRNA from 12 species